rnacentral:rRNA from 1 species
AUGCCCCCACGCGGAUCCAGAUCCAUUUGUGCCGUGACCUCCUUCGCUCGAUCUGCUCCGCCCUCCCCGGCUCCGUCUGCACCAGCUGCACGACGUGCGCUCCGGGUGGCGCCCCUUUGUUCAGUGCGUGCCCCAAAACCGUGGUGGUCAUCAGGCUGGCUCGGGGUCUUCCACCUCUGCGCCCGUGCGCCGCAUCCCUCCGCUCCGGCAAAACUACCCUUCCGCGCGUCGUGCGUCCGGCUGUUCGCGGCCUGCUGCUCUCUUGAGCCGCCACGCCACCCAGGCAGGGCUGCGCCGCCACUGGCGUGGCGCGUGUGUCGGCCGUCGCCCACACCACCCCUCCCUCUGAUCCAUGCUCAUGGGUGCUCGGUGGAUUGUCGCGGUUCCCCUGACUCGGGCGGGCCAUGCGGCUCCGGCGCCCUCGACCUGGUCGCCUCCGCUGCCGGGCUUUGCAGCUGCGUUUGGUUUGUGCCCGUGUCAGCGGCGUCUAGCAUGGAGGACUGCUGCCCCUCGCCGCAGUUCCCUCUGACCUUCGGCUCUCUGUCUCCGGGAGAAAUCCCUUCGCUGGUUCCUUGCCAGCGGCAGCAACGGCGAUGCCUUCCCGGCGCCGCUUCAUCUUCUUGGAGGCGCCGCUGUGGAGUUAAGUGUAGCUAUGGUUUUGGACGAAAGUCCUGCGAUGAUGGCGCCUGUGGGCGUCAUUCAACCUUCCUGAAGGUGUCGCAAAAACACAUGCUUCAAUCCACUCACCUACGCCCGCCCAUUCCAUCAUCGACUUUGUCCCUCCGUCGCCACUCACCGCCAUCCAUCCAUCCGUCUGGUGUGUUGUCCAUGUUGUGCUUGCUCAGGUCCCUUCCAUGCCUGUUGUUGUCUUGCGGCAGGUUGGGGUCAACAGUGGUUUGUGUUGUUGCUGCCCUACUUCCUAUGUGUUCGUCUUCGGUGUUGUUCCCCGGUGUCGGCCAUAUUGCUGUGCAUGUUCAAGCCCCUCCCAUGGUGGCCGUUGUGUUGCGGUGA